UACGGAGGGUGCAAGCGUUACUCGGAAUUACUGGGCGUAAAGCGUGCGCAGGCGGUUUGUUAAGUCCGUUGUGAAAGCCCCGAGCUCAACUUGGGAAUUGCAGUGGAUACUGGCAGGCUGGAGUACGGUAGAGGAAGGUGGAAUUCCCGGUGUAGCAGUGAAAUGCGUAGAUAUCGGGAGGAACACCAGUGGCGAAGGCGGCCUGCUGGACCAGUACUGACGCUCAGGCACGAAAGCGUGGGGAGCAAACAGG
rnacentral:rRNA from 1 species